AGCCCGCGGCACCGGGGUAUCCCGGGAAACGGAGAGAGCCCGGGGCUCGGAGGUAUCCCGGGAAAGGAGACAGCCCGCGGCACCGAGGUGUUACAGCGGUGUGCCUGCCUGUCUAUUGCUCGCUCAGCAGUGCUCCUGGAGCUGAGCCCGGUUUCAGUCGCGGCACUUUGAGGAGGAUGGAAAACCCAGCCUGCCGGCGGGUGGAUCUGUUCACCGGUAUAUGGCAGAGCAAGGGUUGGAGGAAUUCUGUCGACUUCUUGUGGAGAACCUACUGCAUCCAGUAAUGCAUAUUGGUAUGCCUUCUGGGGCACUGAGGUGAUCACAAAAGAAGCAAGCAAAAAAUAAUGGCGAAAGUACCCAGGCUAUCAGGAGGGUCCCAUCAAGGAAUCCAACACUCCCCUACUCCUCCUGGCAAGGUAAGCUCCACAUCCAUCCCACAUGUCCAGUGCUGCCACACAGCUGAUAAAGAUUCC